UCUGCAUGAAUGCAUCCAAAACGACAAAUGAAUCACUUAUUCUUAAUGUGGGUACAGUAUUUUUUGUACACAGUAUAUUUGGGUGUGAGUGAAUAGAGUAGUAUUGUCUGUUUUGAUUGACAGUAGUCUCACUCAUUCCAUAGUUGUACAGCUGUUAAUGAGUACAGUAAAAUUGGUGUGCAGUAGUCAACGUACUGUACAAUGUUUUAGUGUGCAGUUGACUUACUGUACAGUGAGUGAAAUUUCAUGACUGGUAUAUACACACAUAUAUGUAUAGUUCUCAUGUAUUUUACAUCGGUUUACAUCGGAACGAUUACGGUGCCCCAAACCUGCAAGCAUAUGGUGACGCGAAUUAUGCUCUGGCCUGAAUCUUGGCAUGUCACCUCCUUCACAUCAAGCUAAUAAUAUGAACCUUCUCACUUGCACCUGAACAUAUUACCCUAAAGAGAUCAUUUGUACACAAUUAAACCCUCUAAGGCGAAAAUCGGUUUUUUUUGUACAGAUUGGAUGGGAUCUCGGAUGACUCCGCGUGAACUCCAGACACGCGAUCCAUAAAGAAGUAUUGGAGGGACCAAUGAUGGGUAUGAAGUUUUUGGUAUAUAGGGGUCAUUAAAUUCUUUUUAUUAUCUUUUUUUUAAAUAAAACCCAGCACCCCCAUUGCUUUAUUAA